UGCCUUACAAGUAGUUGUAAGGGUUGAGAAUUGUUGUCAACAGUUCGCCGAGCAAUUCCAAUAAGAGUGAUCGG
rnacentral:ncRNA from 1 species